GGAUAGCUUGUGUUGCGUGAGGGAUAGCCGUGGAAAUCCUUUUUUGGGAUGGAAUGCAAUAGAAUUCUAAAAAAGAUUGCAACAAUAGCCCGACCCGAG
rnacentral:sRNA from 1 species